rnacentral:lncRNA from 1 species
AUCAUUUUGAAAUCACUUCACUCUCACACACACAACGUGCAGUCGCGCGGUGAGCGCUGGAGCGAACGAUCCCGAGGCAACCCAUAGUUGUGUAGCUGUACAGAGGGUGACUGACAGAGGACCAAAACGCUGGCAACUAAUGGACAUAUAGUAUAUUGUUUUGUUUUUUUACUCUGGAACCCUCUGCUACGGGAACAUAUUGAGGAUUAGCUUAGCAGCUGGUGAGAAUGUUCCAAACUAAGCACGGGAUGCUGCCAUAAAACUGGUCCGGAGACGUACUAUAUAUGGUUGUUUCCGUAUCCGAGGAGGGGACAACAAUCUGAUGUGCAGCGCUUCUGGUCACCAAGUUGUUUUCUGCCGGCAAUUAACGCACUCGAUUUGAUAUCAGGGGGACCGUCAUUGGAUUUGAAGGAAUAGGCUAACCGUCGUCGGCUGAUCAAGUGGAUUGUUUGUUGUUGGGGGUUUUUAUCACGGGGAGAGCGUUGUUCAUGUAUUGUGGAUUCCUACUUGUGGGGAGAUAUUGAGGGCUGAAGUGGCUUCGUUCAGGAGAGGCGAGGGAUCGAAGCUUCUAGCCCGGCUGAAGCACUCAGAACUGGGAUAGGCUACUGAGGAGUUCUCAUCCAUCCAAGACCGGUGCUGUGCCUGUCAAGUGGAGGGAUGGCGCUGAGGUGGGAUUCCACGCUGGUGUUGGCCGCCAUGCUUCUGGUUUGCUGUGGCGCCGAUCCCACUGACAUUCUCUACCGGAUGCUCGAGGAGCAGCCGCCCAACACGUUGAUCGGCAGCCUGGCAUCGGACGAGGGCCUGCCCGACUCAGGCCACCUGUACAAGCUGGAGGUGGGCGCCCCUUACCUGCGCGUGGAUGGCAAGACGGGAGACAUUUACACCACAGAGGUCCCCAUCGACCGUGAGACACUGCGGGACUGCCGCAACCUGCUCGAGGGCGACAAGUGCUUCCUGGAGUUCGAGGUGUCCAUCACGGACCUGAAGCAGGGCCAGGGACCGCGGCUGAUUGAGGGCCGCAUCGAGGUGCAGGACGUCAAUGACAACACACCCCAGUUCACCUCGCCCAUCCUCAUGCUGUCCAUCCCAGAGAACACACACAUCGGGGCACUCUUCUCCAUCCCCAUGGCCAGCGACAAGGACUCGGGCCACAACGGCGUAGCCGAGUACUCGCUUAGCGCCGGGCCUGACGCCGACCAGCUCUUCAACCUGCAGGUGGCCGAGGACACAGACGAGAAGCAGCCGCAGCUCAUCGUCAUGGGCAACCUGGACCGUGAGCAGAAAGACUCGUACGAUCUCAACAUCCGUGUGGUGGAUGGGGGCACACCGCCGCGAGCCAGCAGCGCCCUGCUGAGGGUGACCGUCACCGACCAGAACGACAACGCACCCAAGUUUGAGAGGAGCCACUAUGAGGCUGAGCUGGCUGAGAACAGCCCUGUGGGACACUCAGUCUUGCAGGUGAAAGCCAACGACGCUGACAUGGGUACCAACGGGGAGAUCGACUAUAGCCUGCACCAGGCCUCCGAUGCCGUCCAGAGGUUGCUACGCAUUGACCGCUCCACAGGGAUCAUCUACGUCAAGGGGCUGGUGGACCGCGAGGAGGAGAGCUUCCUCAAGUUCUUCGUGGUGGCCAAGGACCGCGGCCCCAACUCCAAGAACUCCAAAGUCCUGGUGACCAUCAACGUCAAGGACCAGAACGAUAAUGCACCCGCCAUCGAGAUCCGUGGCAUCGGCCUGGUCACCCACCACGACGGCGUGGCCAACAUCUCAGAGGACAUGCCCAUCGGCACGCCUGUGGCCCUGGUGCAGGUGUCGGAUCGUGAUGAAGGGGAAAAUGCUGUGGUCACCUGUGUGGUGGCCGGGGACGUCCCCUUCCAGCUGCGGCCCGCCAGCGAGUCAGCCAACGACCGCAAGAGGAAAUACUUCCUGCAGACCACGACCCUGCUAGACUACGAGCGCAUCAAGGACUACAGGAUUGAAAUAGUAGCGGUGGACUCCGGUAACCCUGCACUGUCCAGCACAAACUCCCUGAAGGUGCAAGUCACCGACAUGAAUGACAAUGCCCCUGUAUUCUCCCCCACCCUGUUUGAGGUGGACUUUGCAGAGGAGAAUCAGCCAGGUGAUAAGGUCCUGGAUGUGGUGGCCACGGACGCGGACAGUGGGUCCAACGCAGAGCUGACCUACAGCAUCAUCAUGGACUCGACCACUAAGGGGCUCUUUGAGAUCGACCCCAAAACGGGAGAGGUGCACGUGAGGAAUACGCUGGACCGUGAGCACAGAGAGCAGUACGAGUUCCACGUGGCAGCGGCCGAUAAGGGCUCGCCUAGCCUGAGGGGGACAGCCACGGUAGUGGUCAAGGUGCUGGACCGUAACGACAACGAACCCAAGUUCAUGUUGAGCGGCUACAGCUUCUCCGUUUUGGAGAACAUGCCUCCGCUCAGCCCUGUUGGCAUGGUGACGGUCAUCGAUGCAGAUAAGGGCGAGAACGCCAGGGUUCGGCUCUCGGUGGAGCCCGACAAUGGCAAGUUUGUCAUCCAGAAUGGCACAGGCACUAUCCUUUCCAGCAUCUCCUUUGACCGUGAGAAGGAGAGCACAUACACUUUCCGCCUCAAGGCUGUGGACGCCGGUGACCCUCCCAGGUCCUCCUACGUGGGUGUGACCAUCAACGUCUUGGACGAGAACGAUAACUCCCCCUACGUCACCAAGCCCUCUAACUCCUCCUACAAGUACCUCCCACCUCUCACGACCCCCGAGACACGCGUGGAAGUGGUGGAGGCUGAAGACAUCGACACAGGACCCAACGCCGAGCUGGUCUUCAGCAUUACCGGCGGGAACCCCUACGGACUGUUUCACAUCUCGCCCACCAAUGGGGAGAUAACCCUGGCCCAGGAGUUCACCCGCAAGCACAACGGGCUCCACCGUCUGGUGGUGAAGGUGAGCGACAAAGGCAAGCCACCACGCCACACCACCGCCCUGGUCCACAUCUUCGUCAACGAGACCAUGGGCAACAUCACCCUGAUUGAGUCUCUGGUGGGUCACAGCCUCUACACUCCUCUGGACAGAGACAUUGCCGGGGACCCCAACUACGCGCUGGCCCAGCGCAGCAAUAUCCUGUACGGCAGCCUAGCGGGCAUCGCCGGAGUCAUCCUGGUCAUCGUGGUGGUGGUGGUGAUCCGCCAUCGCAUGCAGAAGGACACCAAGAGCGGCUACCAGGCGGGCAAGAAGGAGAGUAAGGACCUGUACGCCCCCAAAGCAGGGCCCAAGAAUGGCAAGGGCAAAAAGAGCAAGAAGGGCAAGGUGCCCAAGCCCACCAAGCCACUGGAGGAGGAUGAAGAGGCCAGCCUCCAGAAGGGCCUCAACUUCAACCUCAUAAACGAUAGUGUCAAUGACAGUCCCCGGAUCCACCUGCCCCUCAACUACCCCCCGGGCAGCCCCGACCUGGGCAGACACUACCGCUCCAACUCCCCACUGCCCUCCAUCCAGCUGCAGCCCCAGUCCCCCUCUGCCUCCAAGAAGCACCAAGCCGUUCAGGACCUGCCUGCCACCAACACCUUUGUGGGCACAGGUGACAACAACUCUACAGGCUCCGAUCAAUAUUCGGAUUACAGCUACAAGGCAAACCCGCCGAAAUACAGCAACAAACAGCUCCCCCAUCGCCGAGUGACCUUCUCCACGGCCAAUCAGGCUCAAGACCUACAGGACCCCUCCCAGCACAGCUAUUACGACAGCGGAUUGGAGGAAUCGGAGACCCCCAGCUCCAAAUCAUCAUCGGGGCCCCGUAUUGGGCCCCUGGCCCUGCCUGAGGACCACUACGAGAGGACCACCCCGGACGGCAGUAUCGGAGAGAUGGAGCACCCGGAGAACGAUCUCAGGCCUCUGCCUGAUGUGGCCAUGACUGGGAAUUGCACCCAUGAGUGUACCGAGUUCGGCCACUCCGACGCCUGCUGGAUGCCUGGACAGCCCUCCCCCAAUCCAGUGCCUUCUCCGGGGGCAGCGACUCCGGCAAAGGCUGCGAGGAGAUCCCCCUGAGCCAGGCAGCCGAGUACCACUCUGCCACCACACCCACCAACCAGGGCUCCAAGAGAGAGAUUUACCUGUGAGGGCGAUGAUGUGGCCACCACCCCACCACCUUCACCCUUACCCGUAUGCCCACUGUUCCUGACCCCAUGCCCCCAAGCCUACCCCCUCACUGCCCCUGUGCCUAGCUGCUAUGUCGUCUGAGAAGUGCCAUAGCACCACCACCACCCUCCUUUUUAUAACCACCUCCCACCGUAUGAGGCUUUAGAAUCCACAAAACCUCCUAUUAAUUAAAUAAAGAGUACAAAUCAGUCA